rnacentral:rRNA from 1 species
UUGUUUUUCGCGUGAAAGGAACCUGCGGAAGGAUCAUUG